rnacentral:rRNA from 1 species
CACUAACUGGAGGACCGAACCGACUAAUGUUGAAAAAUUAGCGGAUGACCUGUGGCUGGGGGUGAAAGGCCAAUCAAACCGGGAGAUAGCUGGUUCUCCCCGAAAGCUAUUUAGGUAGCGCCUCGUGAAUUCAUCUCCGGGGGUAGAGCACUGUUUCGGCUAGGGGGCCAUCCCGGCUUACCAACCCGAUGCAAACUGCGAAUACCGGAGAAUGUUAUCACGGGAGACACACGGCGGGUGCUAACGUCCGUCGUGAAGAGGGAAACAACCCAGACCGCCAGCUAAGGUCCCAAAGUCAUGGUUAAGUGGGAAACGAUGUGGGAAGGCCCAGACAGCCAGGAUGUUGGCUUAGAAGCAGCCAUCAUUUAAAGAAAGCGUAAUAGCUCACUGGUCGAGUCGGCCUGCGCGGAAGAUGUAACGGGGCUAAACCAUGCACCGAAGCUGCGGCAGCGAACGUAUCACCCAAGACAACUUUACGGAGUUGACGAUUGACGGAGCGAAGCGACGUCAAAGCGUUCAUUAAAGUCGAGUUGGCUUAGGGAUACGUUCGUUGGGUAGGGGAGCGUUCUGUAAGCCUGUGAAGGUGUGUCGUGAGGCAUGCUGGAGGUAUCAGAAGUGCGAAUGCUGACAUAAGUAACGAUAAAGCGGGUGAAAAGCCCGCUCGCCGGAAGACCAAGGGUUCCUGUCCAACGUUAAUCGGGGCAGGGUGAGUCGACCCCUAAGGCGAGGCCGAAAGGCGUAGUCGAUGGGAAACGGGUUAAUAUUCCCGUACUUGGUGUUACUGCGAAGGGGGGACGGAGAAGGCUAUGUUGGCCGGGCGACGGUUGUCCCGGUUUAAGCGUGUAGGUGUGUGUUCCAGGUAAAUCCGGUUCACUUUAACACUGAGGCGUGACGACGAGGCACUACGGUGCUGAAGCAACAAAUGCCCUGCUUCCAGGAAAAGCCUCUAAGCAUCAGGUAACACGAAAUCGUACCCCAAACCGACACAGGUGGUCAGGUAGAGAAUACCAAGGCGCUUGAGAGAACUCGGGUGAAGGAACUAGGCAAAAUGGUGCCGUAACUUCGGGAGAAGGCACGCUGACACGUAGGUGAAGUGAUUUACUCAUGGAGCUGAAGUCAGUCGAAGAUACCAGCUGGCUGCAACUGUUUAUUAAAAACACAGCACUGUGCAAACACGAAAGUGGACGUAUACGGUGUGACGCCUGCCCGGUGCCGGAA